UCUUCGGUCAGAUAGACUCUUCCGUCUUCGAGGCGAUAAAGUUACACUUGUAUCUCGUAUCGUUCCUUCCAUUUAUGAAAAUAAUCUAAGUUAAUUUUGAGGAAUUCUGUUCGAUAUUCUUCGUUCUUCGAGUGGCGACGUUGGUUUUUAGUAAUUUUGCGGGUAUAAAAUGAAAUUCGACGAGAGAGUUCAAAAGAAACGGGUUGUCUCUCGAUACGAAGGGUCGUGCCCCUUUAAGGUUGCUUAGUUUGCACGUUUCGUUAAACGAAUGGAAAAGUACGCGCGACAACGAUAGAGAACCUAUUUCUAAUCCUAACGACAGUUCUGGCUAAUUCCAUAUCUCAAUCAACGUGACGACGGGUGAAACAAUGGAGAAACUACUUCAAAUUUUUAAAAAUGUUCCAUCAAAGUCGUACCACGAUCAGUAUGACAGUGACAGAAGCUUGCUUCAAAUCCUAAAAAAAGUAUUAGUCAAUGUCACGCCUUGAUUACUAUGAUCACGACAGAAAAUUAAUUUAGGAACCUAACGAGACUAUUAAUCAAUGUCAUUCGUUCAUUAGAGCGAGAAUAACGCGUAACAAUAAUAGAAAUGUUACUUCAAAUCCUAAAAAUUAUAAAAUAUUAACCAGAGUAAAUUCUUAAUAGAAAGCAUUGCAUUCGUUUUUUCUUUCACGAUGGAAUUUCUUGAAAGUAAUUUCCAUCGGAAGCCAUCGAUCGUAACGCCGUAACUGAAAUUCGUGUCGACGGCAGCUUUAUUAUUGGUUACAAUUAUUUGCACGUAACGCGCGUGCAACGACGCUCAUAUUCCGUGUUUCAUCGUCUCCGUGCCAUUGAAUUUAUCGCUACCGUUAUACACCUUUCGACUGGAUCCCCGCCUCUCGUCGUGUCCGUUUGAGUUAAAGCGCCGCUCGAACCGAGUACAAGCGAAGACUACGCCGAACACUCUCCUCGCUCUCUUCGGGCUCGACACGAGCCGCUGCAUUUUCAGAACGGUACUCCUAACUGUAUCUUACAUACGUAUACAUGUACAUGUGUAUAUACGUCUGUUUCUACUCACCUGUCGGCAUCGCGACCAAGCACCCGCGCAUACCGAUCGGAGAACAAGGGAAAACGACCGCGUCGAUGACCCUAGACGAGAUGACGAAUUCUUUGAGUAGAACUUAUCCAUCGGUUCCCAUGGAAUUCGAGGGAACCGAGCGAAUCUUUAAUUCACACGUCUUCAUACGUUGUAUAGAUAUUGGAACACGAUUCUUAACAUCUGGAUCAUUGACAACUAAGGUGUAAAGUUUGUAUAAAAAAAAUUAAAAUUGAAGAUUUACGAAGCAGAUAAAGUUUUAUCCAUGUUUUUCUAUAAAAGUAUUAUUCAAAACUUCAAAGCUUGCAUCGUUAUAAAUAUGCGAAGUUUCCAUGAAAAAUGAUAAACUAUACUCUGGUAGAUCUAGUACUAAAAUCAUAUGUUAUGACGUCAUGAAUUUGAUAAUGUUCUUGAAAAUCAUCUUAUCUUUUUUGCAUAUGCGAUUCAACGAUUGGAACCUCAUUGUUGGAGAAAUUUGAUGAAUUACAAGUUACAAGCUAGCAGUGAAUCCUUUGUGCGACCAAGAUUUUCUCAUUACGUCGACCCGGUACUAAUUUAUUCGUACACGAUGGGCAAUCACGGAGGAAACGGUUAGUCAUCGUUCAACGAUCCUUCGUUGAAUGAGACGCGACGAGUCAGCUUUGAAGCAAGAAUCCCGCUUCAAUGAGCUACACGAAGCGAAACACGGACCAGAGAGAAGCGUCGAAGGAGUGGAGAGAAAAAGAACGAAAAAAAGAAGAAGAGAGAGGACAUACGAUGAAAGGGGGAGAAGUUCUCGGCUGGCUCGAGUCAAACAACGUGUAGCGGAUCUUCUACGCGGGUACACACGUAAGUACGUACGUGCGGAUCGCGUGUAGGGAUACUCACGUAAUGUAGGCCCGUUGCCGGAGAUACCGUAAGACCUUGCUGUUACGUCACUAGAAGCCGCAUGAUUAGGAGAAAAAGGAUACCGGCGAGAAGGGAGAGAAGGAAACGGAAAUUCUGUCCUCGGGAUGCGCACGCCGAGUGCCGCCUGUUCUUGGAAAUUCGUUGGUGCAAUGUUUCCUUAACCCUUAAAUAGUUCUUUUUUCCUUUUUUUUUUUUUAAUUUUUCGUUGGCUUUUAACCUGUUAACAAGUAAGACAAGUUACUGGGAAUAUAAAUUUUUCCGAAUUGUACUCUAUAUUCAAAGACUCUCCAUGUUUUUUAUUUAUUGUUUUAUUUGUAUAUUUUGAACUCCUUAAUUAUGAAGUAGAAUAUUGUUAAAUUAAUUAUAGAAUUAUAGAUCAGCCGUAUUUCAUUUGUAAACAGUUUCUCCACGUUUCUAAAUGUUAAAGUGGUUAAUAACGGAAAUGUAAUAAAUCGUUUACUUGAAAAAUUACAAUUUAUGAUUGUUAAAUGGAUUGAGAAUGGAAGAAUGAAGUAAUAACUUUGAAUAGUUUCUUUUAGUAAUUUUGAAAUAAAUGCGAGAUUCUCUGUUUUUCGAGAUGCAGUUUUCCAGAUUUGUUGAGUUUUUCAGGUUUGAAAAAUAAUCCUAUAAUGCCAAACUAAGUGGAAUCGGAGUCUUUUAAUGGCUGCAAAAUAGUCUCAAUUAACAGAAUUACAACAGAACGGUGGUUCCAGGCAGUUUGGGAGGUAGCAUGCGGGAAUCGAAAGUGAUUAUGCAGCUGUUCCACGCUGAAAUGUUUCUAAAAUAAGAUACGUAUGUAUGAAGUUAUAAUUACGUGCCUGUAGAAGUUGUUUAUAAAUUUUGAUGUGCGAAAUGGGCUAAACGAUCUUCAGUUGAUCUCUUCGGUCAAACAAAUCUAGCCGUCCUAAGCGAGACAAUAUGUCACUCUUAUACGAACUCUCAUACUUGCAAACUUUAAUUUUAUUCUCAUUUUUUGUAAUUCUGUACUAUUUUUAACAAACAUCCUUUUAUCUGAUACAUUCUAUGCGUUGAUAUUGUGAAAUAUUUACUUUAUCAUAUCGCUAUUUAUCGAUGUAAAUAAAUAGAAUUUUCACAUUUUCACGAUGUAACGGAAAGUUGAUGAAAACAUCUCCAAAAGAAGUUUCAUUUCUUUCGACGAAACUGGCAAACGAUGCGUCACGUGUUCGCCGGAGAUUUCGUAAGAGCCGACGUUUAUUUCGUCACGUAAGUACUUACGAUGACUGCUGAGGCUUCACGUGAAAUCAUCAGCCCUUCGAAACUCCCCUCCCUCGUUUUCCUUCUCUUCCACGGAACCACCGUCACCGACACGGUCUGCGUCCACGUGUUUCUAUCUGCGGUCAGUGCACCUUGCUGCACGAACCACGGCCAUUUACCGAAGGUCCACGUAACGCGACCGUGCUUAAUAAUCUUUUCUUCCAAGGAUCGUCAACCUUGCCGAUGGAGAUGAAGAAAACGAUAGGGAAUAGGCGGGAUCAAGAGGUUGAUACUCAAAGUCCAUGGACCUUCUUCAGGGUGUCUAUCCAUCUGACAGAGUGAUUAAUCAAACUAAGUUUUCUUCCACGAGCGUUAGAGCGUGUUACAUAAUUUCCUAUUAAUUUGAUAAUUACAAGCUACCUCGCUUCCGAAAUAUGUAGCUCCAUUAGAUAAUUUCAGAGAAUAUAAUUAACCCCUUAAUGCUCGAAUUUCUUCUCUUUGCUUUUUCGUUUUUUUCUUUCUACUCUACCGGUAGGGAAUGAUUAACUAUUUUAUUGCAGAAAACCAUUUAUAUGAAGAACAGGUGUGAUAUAUGUAUCUAAUUAGAAGUUCAUAAAUACAUGAAUCAAACAAUAUUUUUCGAAACGAUGGACGAUAUUGCGUAUGCCUUUUAAGAAGCUGAUUUUUAUUUAGUUUGAAUUUGUCUAAUUUUUAUUUAAAAAUCGUUAGAUUGUAACAUUACUAAGGUGAAGUUCGAUGAGAUGCAAUUUUCGAUAUGUAUCUCACGUAUCCCAACGAAACGUAAGCUCAAAUCUAAAAAAUGCUUACGCACGAAAUAAGCGAUAUAAAAUAAACGUCUGCAACAAUGCAAUUGGAGACAGGAGGAUGUACGUGAGCAUGGAUCGUUCAUCAUCCAUCCGGUUUGAUAUCGCGCCGAUGCAAAUGUUCAUUGGAUUUUCGUGUCGAUGACACGUGUUAAUGGAACGUUUAGCUUGGUACACAAUACGGAAGUACAAAGUGCAGAUGAAGUCGCUGAACUUGCACCUCCUCCUUCGUCAUUCUUAUAAAAGAAACGCUGACCUUUCGUCUUUAAAAAUAUUACCUCAUAUUCCUGGAGUCGUGUUUAUAUUUUCCGCGAAAAAAUUCUGGAUCUAUUUUAUUUCGAGAAAGGCCAUUGAACUCUAAGAAAACAUACUCCACUUGAAUUUAAAUUACGUUAGAUUAUAGCAUAUGACGUAUUGUAUUUUGCAUCCAUCUUCUAAAACUCCUAUUUUUAUCGGCGAAUAUUUGUAUCUUUGUAGGUACAUCACUAAUGAUUCAUCGCAUAUCAUUUGAAUAUUGAGAAUUUUCUUUUUCAUAUACAAUGGAUACAAAAAGUAUUUGCCAGUAUCCUUCUUUUUUGUCAGAUUCUACACACUUCAUUUUCAUAGUAUCAAAUUUUGGUAAUGUGAAAUGAAAAUACUAAAUAAUACCUAGAAUUAACGUGCUUGAACCUAAUUAAUAUGUAAACGCUAUAAUAAAUGAUGCGGGAAUGUUUUUUGUAACCACUGUAGAAUUUAACUUAUAAAAGUUAGCAUAAAUUCUUAUGAAGCAUAAACCGUCAAAAAUUGGACAUUUCACGUAUAACCUAAUAAUAAAAUAGCAGUCUAUAUUUUCAUUAACCUAUUUUUCGCAUCUAUAGGGAAAUACAAGAAUUCUGUAACUUGAAGUCCAAUGACAGACAACCUACUUAUGUCAUCACCCUCUUAACCCAGUCCCCUUUUUUCACGCCUACCCUGUCUAUCCUAAACGCAACAAUUCCAUUCUUACGUGUACUACUACGUCGUUCGCAAGUCGAGCGUGUCGAUCAGUCUUGUCUACUCGCAGGUAAGCACGAAUACCGGCAAGACCAGGAAGAACGUGGAUGGUAAAUAAGACGAAGGGAAAAGGUGGAGGCCCUAGGAAGACUCAAAGGUUCACGGCCGGGUGGUUGCUUUAAAUCAGGCAGGUAAGGUGGUUUGACGGGGAAGAGACAUCACUCGCCACGUGGUGGCUCAAGGGUCAUUGUCCUGCGGUCGAGCUUCGUCGAGGUGAAUCGGCUUGAGAACCGGGUACUUGUUCAAAAGUUCCCGCUCCUUUCGGCGCUCUUUCAAUGCUAGACUUCAGUCCGUGGACACUCGCUUUUGUUCGUUUACAUUGCCAUUUAUAAACGUAUUUCAUGAAACGCAGCCGGUUUCGAUGGACAAAGCGCAGAUUCAACUCUUGUCUUUCUGUUUCACGUUACUGAGGAAGUUACUUACCGAUACCGAAGACAUCCAUUUUAAUCUCGAAUAUAUCGAUUUGUUGUUAACUAACAUAUGACUCUUUCAUUCGCGGAAGAAAUCGUAUAUGCACCUCUAUGGUAAGAUACAUACAAUCAUUCACGAAAGUUUUCGUACACCAUAUAAAUGAUGUGUAUAUGAAACAUUUAUUUACUGUUACAUGAGUAACAGUAAUAUUUUCCCUAGCAAAAUAUGUUGAACAUAUAAGGAGAAAAGAUUGUAUCUUUCUAGCCUUAUUAUUCCAAGUUGUACAUUAUAUUGCCCUUAAAGUAGCUCUUAAUUAAUCUUCUUACAUAUACAGAAUACAGUAAAGUUGAAAAAAAGUUUGAUAUUUUACAAACACCUUUUGUAACUGACUGUUCAUAUAUAUAUAGUCAUUUUUUCUCUCAAUAAUGUAAAUAACGUUGAUAACGUAAUUUUUCCAGAGAGUCUGCGCAGUAAAAUGAAGCAAGAACCUACACACUAUCUUUGAGGAAUCCCCAUUUCAACGAAUAUCUGUCACGUUUAUGAUAUGGAAUUAAAAGAAAAAUCUACGAAGCACUUUCUUCUCACUGAACCGUGAGAUAAGCUAAUCGUAACCGCUUCCAAAUUCUAACGAAGAGUUAACUCUUGCUUUCGUAGCGGGAAUUCCAAGAACUAUACGCCAAAUUCCUAUCCAAUUACGGCUGGCAUUAUCGGCAAGCUACGGAUAGUGGAACAACGCGCGUAGAAAAAGCCAACGUGACUGUAAAUUUUUUACUAACGUGAGAGAUAGAGAGGGCAGCGGGCUGUGAGUUUCGGCCCUGGCGAGGACGAACAAGCCGAACGAGCGAGCGAACGAGCGUGUAGCACCUGCGGUCGACGACCCUUGCGGUGCUAUCGAAUACCUGCCGACACGAAGCGACGAUCCGCUCGUUUGCUCGCUCGCGAUCGCCUCACUCUUUUGGUGGCCCGUUCAAUACUUCGCUCGUGAAGUCGAUUAAAUCGGAGAAAAAAAGCAUACAUACAUAUUGAAGUUCGCGAAACGAUCGUGCAGAUCGAUUGAAGACCACACGGGAUAAACGCGAUAAGUUCGUUUUUGUCUACUUCCUGAUUUUUAUGUUACUUUGUCGUUGCAACGAAGCAUUUCAGUACAAUAUACUUGAAAGGCGGAACCGACUUGUUACGUAACACUGGAAUAUAUAUGUAAAAUUUAUAUAUUAAUAAUAUAUAUUCACUUUAUAUAUUAACAAUAUAUAUAUAUUUUGUAACACUGGAAUUAUCGAAUCAGCUACAAUUAAUGGAAAAAUGCAGUUAUUGGAAAGAUGCUUUGAUAAAAUUAGUUCUGCCAUUUAUUCAAAUAGGAACAUAAUUAGGAAGGCACAAAUCCACAACGUGUUGCAGUAGAGCUAUUAUAUGAUUAAUACUUAUAUUAUGACAAUCGAAUGUUUUAAACAUCUUUUUGAAAUAUUCAAGAAGUUGAAGAAACUUGGCAGUAGUUCAUCUCAAAAACUAAUUACAAGACGGGAUUAGUUAUAGUAUCCUGUUCAGUUUUAAAAUUGUUCUCCUAUAAAACACAGAAAGCUCGAUUUAUCUCAUAUUUCUCUGCCGUGGUUUUAAAUCUUAAUCGAAUAGUAGGGUACAACGUAUAAUUUGCUUCAACGAACUGUUAUGGCAUGACUCAUUGCAUAAAAUGAUAAAAAUGACAAAGAAAUUUUUCGAGGCAACUCGACUUUUAUCAAAAUAGACAUAUUAUAAUACAUUUCCAUCUAUCAAGAUUAUCAAAGACAGUGUACUUAAUGUGUAAUUAAAAUCUUUGAAGUACUUGUAUAAUUAUUCUGAAAGAGGAAAAACAUAUGCGCGUUGUUAUUAAUGAAAUGUGAUUAUUUCAGCAAAAAAUGGAGUAAUUUAUUUUAACCAACUGGACUAGUUCAGAUAUGUUGAUUAAAGGUUUGCGAUGGUUUGGAACACACCGAGGAAUCUUGUGAGUUAACGCGUAAGCAGAUCCGGUGAAAUCGGACUUGUUCUCGAUUACCUGCGUUACCUCGUUGAUGCGCAAUUAAGUUGCAUCAAUUUUGAAUUAGAAAACGUUCCAGCGUCUGCUGAUUCCUGUUCAAGCGAUAUUUCAAAGACACACACAUGCGUGCUUUUACAGGAAAAGAGGAACGACAGUGGAAAAAUGAGAUUUUUUCAUCACCUACGAACCUCGUGGUGUGAAAUUCAAGGAUGCAGAAUCUGCGUGAAAGAUGAAGAUUUAAACAGGUAUUUGAUGAAACUUUUUAAAACUGUCGAGAGUUUUCAACGCGCUUGGCAAGCUGACACGAGUGGACUUGAAUUUACGAACAAGUCCUGGCCAAGAUUUUCGCGCCGCCUGGAAAAUUGUCAAUCCCAUCUUCCGGCAUUCUGAUUGCAAAUCAUAUUUGCAUCGAAGAAAAUCUUACUUCAUCGUCUUGCCAAUAAUUUUGUUACGGAAUGUUUACCCUAGGACGGCAAAUAAAUUCUGGAAACUUCACUCGACUGUGUUGCCAACAUACACGUAUACAGUGUAUACAUACGGUUCGGUUCAACGAACUCCCACACGAUCUUCUCUCCUCGGAGAGAUUCGAGAAGUUGAAUUAAUACCAAACGAAAACCUUGAAAACGCGUCGACUCGUCGUAAGUGAGCUACGAUCAAGAUUAAAUGCAUAUAAUAGUGUGUCCCGCAUAGUUAAAACCGGGAUGAUUUAAAGCCAUAGAGGAAGAGGCUAGAACGGAAGAGUUCUCUAAACUGCCAACGGCAGAAAGCAACGGAUGACUUAUUUCACAGUUAAAAUAGUUAAACAAGCCAGGGAUAAUUUAGGCGACAAUUGUAUUUGUUCGUAGUAACGAGUUUCGUAAGAAUAAUCCUUAGCAUUUUACGUAGCGAUCUUACAUGAUGAUCUCAGUCCUUCAACUAGUCGACGGCCAUCACAUGUUUAGAUCGUUGAACCUGUGUUAGACCUUUCCCUUGC